rnacentral:rRNA from 1 species
GACGAACGCUGGCGGCGUGCUUAACACAUGCAAGUCGAACGGAAAGGCCCUUUCGGGGGUACUCGAGUGGCGAACGGGGGAGUAACACGCGGGCAACCCGCCCUCAGCUCUGGGAUAACUCCGGGAAACCGGGGCUAAUACUGGAUAUUCACUGCUCAUCGCCUGGGGGGUGGUGGAAAGUUUUUCGGCUGGGGAUGGGCCCGCGGCCUAUCAGCUUGUUGGUGGGGUGCUGGCCUACCAAGGCGACGACGGGUAGCCGGCCUGAGAGGGCGACCGGCCACACUGGGACUGAGACACGGCCCAGACUCCUACGGGAGGCAGCAGUGGGGAAUAUUGCGCAAUGGGCGGAAGCCUGACGCAGCGACGCCGCGUGAGGGAUGACGGCCUUCGGGUUGUAAACCUCUUUCAGCUCUGACGAAGCGAGAGUGACGGUAGGAGCAGAAGAAGCACCGGCCAACUACGUGCCAGCCGCCGCCGUAACAC